UACGUAGGGUGCAAGCGUUGUCCGGAAUUACUGGGCGUAAAGGGCUCGUAGGCGGCCAACUAAGUCAGACGUGAAAAUCCCUCGGCUUAACCGGGGGAACUGCAUCUGAUACUGGAUGGCUUGAGUUCGGGAGAGGGAUGUGGAAUUCCAGGUGUAGCGGUGAAAUGCGUAGAUAUCAGGAGGAACACCGGUGGCGAAGGCGGGUCUCUGGGCCGUAACUGACGCUGAGGAGCGAAAGCGUGGGGAGCGAACAGG
rnacentral:rRNA from 1 species